GCCAAUGUGGCAUAAUGGUUUGAGUGCUAGACUAUGAUUCUGGAGACCAGGGAUCAAUUUCCAGCUCGGCCA